UUUAUCCAGUUCCCUAGAUAUCACUGUUGCUUAUUAUAUAAUAAGAUACACUGAUGUAAUGAUUACAUUUCGUAAUGACAACUUCUUAUCGACAACUGAUCGAUUUUUAUCACAGUUAAAACAAAAUUCCUUGCUCCUCCUCCCCCCAUUCCACCGUUCAAUGGAAUGAUCCGUCUCCAUGAAACGCAUUUUUAAGCGCCAAAUAGAGCGCGCGUGACACUCAAAAGUGUCAGCACCUGUUGUGAGGACGUUGGCUUUGUGUGUGUGCGCGCGGGCGCACGUGCACGCGCUAAUUUUCCUCAUCCUUCAUGUUUAUAAAAUUUGAGUCCUUGUAGCUCACUGGAUCUCCAUCAGUCUCCAUCACUGGCUGCUUGGUGUAUUUCCAUCUUCCUCCAUUGCGUCUAAAUGACUAUGUGACUUCAGCACAAUCCCCCAGCUCAGACUUUGCCUGGAUGGCUUCAAGCAGUUCACCACCACCGUCUGCAUUCCUGGAUUCCCGCUCUGCCACCUUUAAAGGUUGCCUGCCUAGUGAGAGCACUGAACAGCGUGA